rnacentral:rRNA from 1 species
GUGAGGAAUAUUGGUCAAUGGACGAGAGUCUGAACCAGCCAAGUCGCGUGAAGGAAGACGGUUCUAUGAAUUGUAAACUUCUUUUGUGCAGGAAUAAAGUGGGUUACGUGUAACCUUUUGUUUGUACUGUACGAAUAAGGAUCGGCUAACUCCGUGCCAGCAGCCGCGGUAAUACGGAGGAUCCGAGCGUUAUCCGGAUUUAUUGGGUUUAAAGGGUGCGUAGGUGGAUUGAUAAGUCAGCGGUGAAAGUUUGCAGCUUAACUGUAAAAUUGCCGUUGAAACUGUCGGUCUUGAGUGCAAAUGAGGUAGGCGGAAUGUGUUGUGUAGCGGUGAAAUGCUUAGAUAUAACACAGAACUCCGAUUGCGAAGGCAGCUUACUGGGAUGCAACUGACACUGAUGCACGAAAGCGUGGGUAUCAAACAGGAUUAGAAACCCGAGUAGUCC